AAGAGGCAGCUCAGCUCAGAAUAUGCCAUCUGCACUUCCUGGAACAACCCCACUUAGAAUCUCAUGCUAACAGCACGGGACUGGGCUGCAUCACAGCCUUGCAGGCUGAUGGGAGUGUUAUCUGCUAAAACGCAGAUGGAUUCACCCCCAUGGUGCAGGGCAGUGCAGGGUGAUGCAGGGCUCCCUUUCCCCACGUGUGCUGGCUUUGAGCUGCUCAGUGCUGUAUAAUCAGAUGCCCUGAAGGGCGCCCUUUGGCUUUGAGCUGCUCAGUGCUUUAUAAUCAGGUGCCUUGAAGUGUUGCAUGGUUUUGCAGAGUCACAUGUUGGCUUUCUUCCUUUCCAGAUGGAGCGAGCAGCAUCAUUGUUGGAGUCCUGCCCCUCCUCCUGGCAAUGCUGGUGAUGAACUUCUAAAUCAGGGCACGGCUGCAGCAUUCAGAUGGUGGGAUGUGGUUGUGCCCUGCGUUGCCUGCUGGAGAAAUCAACCCUGCCACAGCGACUGGCAGAACUGUGAUGGAUGAAGAUGAUGUUGAGCCCUCAUGCCCCCCAGACAAGCAGUUGCACUUUUUAGCUGGCGUUGUGCUGGACACAACAGCAGUGUGGCUGUGCCAGCAGUUCAGAUGUGAGUGUGGUUAUUUCUAUGGGAAGUGGCAGUGAUACCAAAGGUUUCUGAACUGCACUGCUGUGGACUCGAGGAAAUUGGGCACUUUGGGUACCUCUGUGGUCUGAUUUUCAGCCCCACUGAGGUAAUGCUGAGCCUUGUUCCCAUUAGGGCUCACAGCUCUCUGAAGUGUCCUGAUGCGUGACUGUUCCUGUAUGAGUGGUACAUACUUGAAUUAAUAAUGUGAGCCAAAUACUGUGACACUGAAAGCACUGACAAUGUUUGCAUAGAAGCACACUGUAGCAUUUUCUUCAAGGCCAGUGUGGACAAAACAAACCUUAUAGAUGGGUAAUUUUACUGGAGAGAAUGUAAAUAUAAACACCUUGUGACAAAUAA